GCUGGGCGUGGUGGCGCACGCCUGUAAUCCCAGCUACCUGGGAGGCUGAGGUAGGAGAAUUGCUUGAACCCAGAAGGUGGAGGUUGCAGUGAGCCAAGAUUGCACCACUGCACUCCAGCCUGGGUGAUAGAGCAAGACUCUGUCUCAA
rnacentral:SRP_RNA from 1 species